rnacentral:rRNA from 1 species
AACGAACGCUGGCGGCAGGCCUAACACAUGCGAGUCGAACGCUCCGCAAGGGGAGUGGCAGACGGGUGAGUAACACGUGGAAAUCUUCCUGUUGGUGCGGAAUAGCUCAGGGAAACUUGGGGUAAUACCGCAUAAGCCCGAGAGGGGAAAGAUUUAUCGCCGACAGAUGAGCCCGCGUCUGAUUAGCUAGUUGGUGAGGUAACGGCUCACCAAGGCGACGAUCAGUAGCUGGUCUGAGAGGAUGACCAGCCACACUGGGACUGAGACACGGCCCAGACUCCUACGGGAGGCAGCAGUGGGGAAUAUUGGACAAUGGGCGCAAGCCUGAUCCAGCCAUGCCGCGUGAGUGACGAAGGUCUUCGGAUUGUAAAGCUCUUUUGGCGGGGACGAUAAUGACGGUACCCGCAGAAUAAGCCCCGGCUAACUUCGUGCCAGCCGCCGCCGUAAAAC